GUGUUCACUUUUUGGGACACCACAUUGGGAUUCGGUGUCAGACUGUAUGUGUAUAUGGUGCAUUGAACUAUAAAUAAACUGGAAGGCUAACUCAGGGGGGGAAAUUGAAGCCAGUGUAUUUUAGUUUUUCUGAGUUAUGAGCGGAAAUACUCAGCACUGAACGUUCGGCUAUAUAUCAAAUUGAAGCUAUUGAAAAACGCUAUUUGGUGUAGAAAUUUCAAGACUUUAGCUAAAAGGGAAAUAUUGAAAAAUUACAAACAUAAUUACUCGCUGGGGCACCCUGUGCCCGGGCGAGUAUAGGUUUCGGCACACAUUUUUAGUGGAUUUCCAAUAGUGGAUCGCAAUUUUCUUGUAUAGCCACAAAAUAGAAUAUUAAUGAGCUACCCACUUUAUCCUUUUCAAAAUGGCGGCCUUGGUGGAGUGAGCAAAGUUUUUCGAACAAUUUCGUUAAAAUUUUCAACGAAUUGUACCUGUUUUCUAUGGAUUUAGCAUUGUGUCUAACUUUGGACAUUCUUGCUAGUUUAGUUAAUGCAUUUUUCUUGGUGCACGACUCUGAAAAUCCGAAAUUUGGAUCGUUGAAUAACUUGAAUUCCUGUGCACGAUCAUAUAAUAUACUGAAUCUGAAUUUAAAACGAGCCAAAGACAUGCACAAUUUCAAGGUAAAAGGUUAUAACUUAAACUACAUAACGUAGUUUUAAUAGAUAACUACUUGAUGAGAAGCAUAUUGGUGUCAUAUCAAUAUAAAAUUUAUCCAACAACAGUCGGCUCUAAGGCCUAAAUACUUAUAGUUAGCUGUGAACGUAAACUGCAGUGUGAAAUAUGAUAUUGUAUUUGUAAUGCUUAAUCUAAUGGCGCAAUAAGGAAAAAAUACCACCG